AAACUGGAGAGUUUGAUUCUGGCUCAGAACGAACGCUGGCGGCGUGCCUAACACAUGCAAGUCGAGCGAGAAAGCCCGCAAGGGUGAGUACAGCGGCGAACGGGUGAGUAACGCGUAGGUAACCUUCCUAUAAGACUGGGAUAACCUGUCGAAAGACGGGCUAAUACUGGAUAUGACCACGUUCCGUUUUCGGAAUGAGGUAAAAGAUGGCCUCUACUUGUAAGCUAUCGCUUAUUGAUGGGCCUGCGUACCAUUAGCUAGUUGGUAGGGUAAUGGCCUACCAAGGCUACGAUGGUUAGCUGAUCUGAGAGGAUGAUCAGCCACACUGGAACUGAAACACGGUCCAGACUCCUACGGGAGGCAGCAGUGGGGAAUCUUGCGCAAUGGGCGAAAGCCUGACGCAGCAACGCCGCGUGGGGGAUGAAGGCCUUCGGGUUGUAAACCCCUGUCGAAGGGGAAGAACUGUUUUAGGGUAAAUAAUCCUAGGAUUUGACGGUACCCUUAGAGGAAGCACCGGCUAACCUCGUGCCAGCAGCCGCGGUAAUACGAGGGGUGCAAGCGUUGUUCGGAAUUACUGGGCGUAAAGCGCGUGUAGGUGGUUGAAUGUGUCGAAUGUGAAAGCCCUGGGCUUAACCCAGGAAGUGCGUUCGAAACUGUUUAACUCGAGUACGGGAGAGGAGGGCGGAAUUCCCAGUGUAGAGGUGAAAUUCGUAGAUAUUGGGAGGAACACCGGUGGCGAAAGCGGCUCUCUAGAC
rnacentral:rRNA from 1 species